rnacentral:rRNA from 1 species
AGUUGGUGGUGAAAUCCCAGAGCUUAACUCUGGAACUGCCAUCAAAACUUUUCAGCUAGAGUUUGAUAGAGGAAAGCAGAAUUUCUAGUGUAGAGGUGAAAUUCGUAGAUAUUAGAAAGAAUACCAAUUGCGAAGGCAGCUUUCUGGAUCAUUACUGACACUGAGGAACGAAAGCAUGGGUAGCGAAGAGGAUUAGAUACCCUCGUAGUCCAUGCCGUAAACGAUGUGUGUUAGACGUUGGAAAUUUAUUUUCAGUGUCGCAGCGAAAGCGAUAAACACACCGCCUGGGGAGUACGACCGCAAGGUUAAAACUCAAAUGAAUUGACGGGGACCCGCACAAGUAGUGGAGCAUGUGGUUUAAUUCGAAGAUACGCGCAGAACCUUACCAACACUUGACAUGUUCGUCGCGACUUUAAGAGAUUAAAGUUUUCGGUUCGGCCGGACGAAACACAGGUGCUGCAUGGCUGUCGUCAGCUCGUGUCGUGAGAUGUUGGGUUAAGUCCCGCAACGAGCGCAACCCUCACUUUUAGUUGCCAUCAUUAAGUUGGGCACUCUGAAAGAACUGCCAGUGAUAAGCUGGAGGAAGGUGGGGAUGACGUCAAGUCCUCAUGGCCCUUACGUGUUGGGCUACACACGUGCUACAAUGGUAUCUACAACAGGAAGCAAAACGGCGACGUUAAGCAAAUCCUUAAAAGAUACCUCAGUUCGGAUUGUACUCUGCAACUCGAGUACAUGAAGCUGGAAUUACUAGUAAUCGUGGAUCAGCGUGCCACGGUGAAUGCGUUCCCGGGUCUUGUACACACCGCCCGUCACACCAUGGGAGUUGGUUCUACCUUAAGGCAAGGUUUAAAACCCUUGACCACGGUAUAGUCAGCGACU